rnacentral:rRNA from 1 species
CACGUAGGGGGCGAGCGUUGUCCGGAUUCAUUGGGCGUAAAGAGCUCGUAGGCGGCUCAGUAAGUCGGGUGUGAAACCCUCAGGCUCAACCUUGGAAUUGCCUUUGAUACUGAGGGCCUUGAGACCGGAAGAGGUCGGCGGAACUGCGAGUGUAGAGGUGAAAUUCGUAGAUAUUCGCAAGAACACCAGUGGCGAAGGCGGCCGACUGGUCCGGUUCUGACGCUGAGGCGCGAAAGCGUGGGGAGCAAACAGG